AUUUGGUGCACAUUUGCAGAAACAAGCUUGCACGCACAUUAUCAUCUCGUGUUUAUUCAUUACCCUUUACAAAAAGAUAGGCAUACUUUGAUAUUUCCAAUAUUUAAAAAUAAACCACGCACUUAAAAAUAUGUUUCUCAAAGGACGAUAUAGCAUCAUUCUGUCCUGAGCUAAACCACGCCCUCGUUACGAUGGUUGCGCUUACGUAACGUCAACGUCUCAGGCGGGAGAAAUUGAAAGCAUUGUACUUCAGUGGGGAAAGAGGCAAGCCGUGGAAGAGCAAUCUUAAUAGUAAGUGUGCAAAGAUUGUAGUUCUUUGUUUAAGACACUUCAUCUAAAUUUGUCCUCCUAAAUGUUCAUCAUAUACGGCUUGUGUAACUGAUGACAACCGAUUAAAUUCUUAUUUUAUCUAGUAAUUUGUUAGCUCCAAGUUUAAUGAUAAUUUGAGAAAUUAUAUAUGGUACGACAGCAAUAAAAUAAUAAAAACAUUUAGUGUGGAUGUUCCCAAUGUUUAGAUGCAAACAAAACAAUAUUAUUUAUAAAUGGAUUAUAUAUAUCAUUUAGGGAAAACAGUGUAAAAUGCGCUUAUUUUCGAGAUAGCACGCUUCCAUGCAGACUGUUUUUUAAGCAGAAGUUUGGUUUCAUAAGAAACGCAUGCGUGAGUCAACUCCUGACCCAAACUCCAACCCAGACGGUGGCGGUAAUGUUCCAAAAGCUGGUUGCCAAACGCUAUGAAGAUCACAAGAAGAAAAAGAAGUUUGGCGUUUCAAAACAGUGGAUUCCGGUCAGAAAGACACACAUGAGGAAGCUCGACUCAGCUUGGCUUGCAGACAGAUGAGGACGGUGAUUGCCUGUCAUACACCUAAAGAAAGAACAGGGGCAUUAAAGACACAACUAUAGUGAACGUGAUGAAGAAAAAUUAUUUGGAACAAAGAGGCUGGAGAAAAAACUGGUAUGAAGAUUUCAGAAAUUGAUGCAGCACCACAAGUACCAUCACCACCAAUGACUAUGGCAGGAUCCUUAAGAACAUUAUCAAGAUGCACAAAUGCUGUACAUUUCAGUACACCUAUGAACAUUUACAGUCCUUGUUCAAGUGCAGUCGGAGAUCAAGACAACUUAUUGCAACUCGUCAUGUCUUUCAUGACUGACAAAAGUUUUAAAAUCAUGUGACGUCAUAAAGCAGCAACUGU